rnacentral:rRNA from 1 species
CCCUUAGAUGUUCUGGGCCGCACGCGUGCUCCACUGAGUAAUUCAAUGGGUAAGGGAACGCUAGAGCAUUACCUAAUCUUGAAAUUUGCUCGUGAUGGGGAUCGACGGUUGCAAUUUUCCGUCGUGAACGAGGAAUACCUUGUAGGCGCAUGUCAUCAUCAUGCGCCGAAUACGUCCCUGCCCUUUGUACACACCGCCCGUCGCUCCUACCGAUUGAGUGAUCCGGUGAGGCUCUGGGACCUGGACGGAAAGAGCGUUUCGCUUGUUCUGUUUGGGAAACUUGGUCGAACCUUAUCAUUUAGAGGAAGGAGAAGUCGUAACA